rnacentral:rRNA from 1 species
AGAUUGAACGCUGGCGGCAGGCCUAACACAUGCAAGUCGAGCGGUAGAGAGGUGCUUGCACCUCUUGAGAGCGGCGGACGGGUGAGUAAAGCCUAGGAAUCUGCCUGGUAGUGGGGGAUAACGCUCGGAAACGGACGCUAAUACCGCAUACGUCCUACGGGAGAAAGCAGGGGACCUUCGGGCCUUGCGCUAUCAGAUGAGCCUAGGUCGGAUUAGCUAGUUGGUGAGGUAAUGGCUCACCAAGGCGACGAUCCGUAACUGGUCUGAGAGGAUGAUCAGUCGCACUGGAACUGAGACACGGUCCAGACUCCUACGGGAGCAGCAGUGGGAAUAUUGGACAAUGGGCGCAAGCCUGAUCCAGCCAUACCGCGUGGGUGAAGAAGGCCUUGGUGUAAAGCCCUUUUGUGGAAAGAAAGCAUUCGGUUAAUACCCGGUGUUCUAGACGUACCAAAGAAUAAGCACCGGCUAACUUCGUGCCAGCAGCCG